UCCUCAGAUACUUUUCUUGUGAGAGUUGAGCCUCUUAAAUCACUAUUCUCAGAGAAUAGAAAAUUCAAAUAUGACAACGGGGUUUAAACUGUCCAUAUCAUUAAGCUUUGAAAAGAUGGCAGGAAUCUAAGAAAAAGAUCCAAAUAUUGAGAAGACGUAUUCCUUUCUUUCCAUGAUAAAAAUCACAGAAAAAAAAAUACUGCAUAGGCAUAGAGUUAAUAAAAGAUUAGGAUCUUGAUCUUUCAAUGAGAAAACCUGAGCUUCUGGACAGUUCUAGGAAAAGCCACUGGAAGCUGUUGUCUUUGUAAUGAAGGGUUCUUCUGCCAGAUAACAUGUGCUGUUGAAAGGCAAGUCUUUGCUGCAUGACUGGUCACUCUAAGCAUGCCUCUGACAAGGACACUUUAGAGGUAGCCACUGUUUCUGAACCAAGCCAGUUUCAAAUACUCUUCCUUGCUCAGCAAUGGACUAUACUUCUUUUUUCACUUUGAGGCCUGUCCCCAAAAGCUGUCUAAUAAGCCUUAUAGCAGAUACCAAAGGCAAUUCAAAUUCACUUUGAAUCAUGCUUCAGGAAUCAGCUGCCGCAGACAGUGGUGCAACGACACAUGCAAAUUUCAAAUAGCUAAGAUACUUUACUGAGGCUUUAAAACAUCAGCUCUAUUUUCAAGUCAAAGAUAAAUGUGUCUACUGCUUUUCUCUGGGGUCAUCACGUUGCUGCACUCAAGGGGAAACUUCCACCAGGUCUGUCCACUCCAUAUUUUUCAUCCUUCUCCCUAUUCAGCAGGAUGCCUGGCAGGUUACUGGAACUGUGCUGGAUAUCAAAGAUAUAAUUUCUGGGGGCACAAGAAGGUCUUUUUAGUCCUUCUAGAAUAACAUGGAAAGAAAAUUCAACAAGUUAUAUGAUGAAGUGUGAUAACUAUUUUGAUAGAGGAAGUAGAAUGCUGUGGGAAUAGAGAAAAGAAUUUCUAAUCUAGACAAGAAAAAAAAAAAAAACAGAGAAUUCUUCCAAAUGAGCAGAAGAGAGCCAGGGAAGGAAGAAAGGGGCAUGUGCAAUUAGUCAACAAAAUCACAGCCCAUAACCUAACUCUGAUUGGUUCACAAAUCAGCCAACUGCUUCUAUUAACUUCUUCCCCCAGAUAUCCACUUGGUUCACUCCUUAAUUUCACUUGGGUCUUUACUCAGAUGUCACCUUUUUACUGAGGUCUUUCCUCACCACCCUAUUUAAAUUACACUACACCUCCAACACUACCAAUUUCUCUCCCCAACAUUCACCUAACUACAUAUUUUGACUGUUGUUUAUUUUUUGUCUAUUUUCUUUCAUACAAAUAGAUGCUCCCUUAGAACAAUUUUUUUCUGUUAUUUUCACUGCUAUAUCUUAAGCAUCUAAGACAGUAUUUGCAACAUAACAGGCUCUUCGUAAAUACAUUUGGGCAGUCCAUAAAUACUUGCUGCCACUAGCUGAUGAAGGAUCCAAAAUGAAUUUGUGGGACAGGGUAUGCUAAUGUUGAUGAUCUCCACCCAAAUCUUCUGAUAGUUACCAGUCUUGAUUUCAGUAAGCAAGACUUGGCAGCAGGAAAUAAUAAUAAUGUUUAAUGUUUAUUGAGUGAUCGUGGUAUGCUAGACCCUGUUAAUAAUCAAAUACAUCACUUCACAGUUUCCUCAAAAUAACUUUGGGAGGUAGGGACUAUUAUUAUCUUCAUUUUACAGAUAAGGAAAUGGAGACACAGAAUGCUAACCAACUUGCUCAAGGCCUCACACACAGACAUUUAGUCACACCUCUGAUAAGUCAGGAGCCAGGAUUUGAGCCCCAAUAAUGGAUCCAGAAGACUAACAAUCUCCAGAAACGGAACCCAUUCUGUACUCUGACAACACCGGACACUGAUGUGAAAGAUUAAAUCUAUGCUGACAAACCAUUCAUGAAAUGAUCUUUAUGGGGAAGGCAUGACAAGAGUCAAAAGGAAGAGUCUUAAGAGAUGAGUCGCUGAACAUCAUACUAUUGUAAGCCUGAAGGGGUGGUUUGGUUUAGGCAGCCCAGUAACCCUGGAAAAGACUUGCAGACAAACUGUUGUCUGUGUACCAAGAUCUUCCUAUCCUAGUGUGGGAACAUUAGUCUCUAUGUGACUCAGCAACUUUUUGCUCCUACUGUGCACUCCACCCUUGUUAUUCCUUCUUGUGAAGAUAUCUUGGGACUUUGCCCAACUGACUCCGUGCUCACACUUCAUUGUUUUGUCCUCUCUUCUUUCUCAUUCAGGAGCUCUCUUGGGAAUAGAAGAUUUCAUGUGGGAUGAAGAGAAACACAAAUAAGAAACAGGACAUCUUUGCUCAAUCAACAUUAGAAACAGAAGCAGUUCGCCAAGUAGCAAGUGAAAGGUGUUAUAAGCAGGCAAGGAACAGUGGGGAUUGAACUUCUGGGGAAUCUCUGGGCUUCCUGAUAUUCUGAGUCCUUGUGAAUUUUCCUUUUUCUCUUUUCUUUUCUUUUUUUUUUUUUUUAAGAUAUAGGGUCUCCCUUUGUCAUCCAGGCUGGAGUGCAGUGGCAAGACCAUAGCUCACUGCAGCCUCAAGCUCCUGUACUCAAGUGAUCCUCCUGCCUCAGCCAAGAAGCUGCGACCACAGGUGUGUGCCACCACACCCAGCUAAUUUUAUUUUAUUUUUUAAUCUUUUUAGACACAGGGUCUUGCUUGGCUGCCCAGGCUGAUCUUGAAUUCCUAGCUUCAAACAAUCCUCCCACCUCAGCCUCCCAAAAUGCUGGGAUUACAGGUAUGAGCCACCACACCCAGCCUAUGAAUUUUUCUUAAGAGAAAAAUUCUACCUCUCAUGGGAUUCUCAAAAGUAUGUGACUCCCAAAAAAAUUAAGAACCACUGUUCUCACAUGAGAAAGAAAAAAAAAACUAACCCGAGAAUUCUGAGAAAUAUGAUAAUCAACCAAUAAAGUGGAAAAUUAGAAAGAUUGGCAGGGAAGUGGAGAGGG
rnacentral:lncRNA from 1 species